rnacentral:rRNA from 1 species
GACGAACGCUGGCGGCGUGCUUAACACAUGCAAGUCGAACGGAAAGGCCCUGCUUUUGUGGGGUGCUCGAGUGGCGAACGGGUGAGUAACACGUGAGUAACCUGCCCUUGACUUUGGGAUAACUUCAGGAAACUGGGGCUAAUACCGGAUAGGAGCUCCUGCUGCAUGGUGGGGGUUGGAAAGUUUCGGCGGUUGGGGAUGGACUCGCGGCUUAGCAGCUUGUUUGUGGGGUAGUGGCUUACCAAGGCUUUGACGGGUAGCCGGCCUGAGAGGGUGACCGGCCACAUUGGGACUGAGAUACGGCCCAGACUCCUACGGGAGGCAGCAGUGGGGAAUAUUGCACAAUGGGCGGAAGCCUGAUGCAGCAACGCCGCGUGCGGGAUGACGGCCUUCGGGUUGUAAACCGCUUUCGCCUGUGACGAAGCGUGAGUGACGGUAAUGGGUAAAGAAGCACCGGCUAACUACGUG